rnacentral:rRNA from 1 species
GACGAACGCUGGCGGCGCGCUUAACACAUGCAAGUCGAGCGAGAACCAUUCCUUCGGGAAUGGGGACAGCGGCGAACGGGUGAGUAACACGUGGGUAAUCUGCCCUCGAUUCUGGGAUAG